GACGAACGCUGGCGGCGUGCCUAAUACAUGCAAGUCGAACGAGAGCGACCGGUGCUUGCACUGGUCAAUCUAGUGGCGAACGGGUGAGUAACACGUGGGUAACCUGCCCAUCAGAGGGGGAUAACAUCCGGAAACGGAUGCUAAAACCGCAUAGGUCUUCGAACCGCAUGGUUUGAAGAGGAAAAGAGGCGCAAGCUUCUGCUGAUGGAUGGACCCGCGGUGCAUUAGCUAGUUGGUGAGGUAACGGCUCACCAAGGCCGUGAUGCAUAGCCGACCUGAGAGGGUGAUCGGCCACAUUGGGACUGAGACACGGCCCAGACUCCUACGGGAGGCAGCAGUAGGGAAUCUUCCGCAAUGGACGCAAGUCUGACGGAGCAACGCCGCGUGAGUGAAGAAGGUUUUCGGAUCGUAAAACUCUGUUGUUAGAGAAGAACAAGUGCUAGAGUAACUGUUAGCGCCUUGACGGUAUCUAACCAGAAAGCCACGGCUAACUACGUG
rnacentral:rRNA from 1 species